GCCAGCAUAGCUCAGUGGUUGAGCGUUGAUCUAUGAACCAGGAGGUCAUGGUUCAAUUCCUUGUCAGGGCA
rfam:Myotis lucifugus cont2.15344, whole genome shotgun sequence.